UAGUGGCGAACGGGUGAGUAACACGUGGGCAAUCUGCCCUUCACUCUGGGACAAGCCCUGGAAACGGGGUCUAAUACCGGAUAACACCAUUUCCUGCAUGGGGGAUGGUUGAAAGCUCCGGCGGUGAAGGAUGAGCCCGCGGCCUAUCAGCUUGUUGGUGGGGUGAUGGCCUACCAAGGCGACGACGGGUAGCCGGCCUGAGAGGGCGACCGGCCACACUGGGACUGAGACACGGCCCAGACUCCUACGGGAGGCAGCAGUGGGGAAUAUUGCACAAUGGGCGGAAGCCUGAUGCAGCGACGCCGCGUGAGGGAUGACGGCCUUCGGGUUGUAAACCUCUUUCAGCAGGGAAGAAGCGUGAGUGACGGUACCUGCAGAAGAAGCGCCGGCUAACUACGUGCCAGCAGCCGCGGUAAUACGUAGGGCGCAAGCGUUGUCCGGAAUUAUUGGGCGUAAAGAGCUCGUAGGCGGCCUGUCGCGUCGGAUGUGAAAGCCCGGGGCUCAAC
rnacentral:rRNA from 1 species